UGAGGAAUUUUUGGCAAUGGGCGAAAGCCUGACCAAGCAACGCCGCGUGGGUGAUGAAGUAUUUUGGUACGUAAAACCCUUUCGGCAGGGACGAAUUCUUGACGGUACCUGCAGAAGAAGCCCCGGCUAACUCCGUG
rnacentral:rRNA from 1 species